UGUGUAGGCGGUGUGUUAAGUCAGAUGUGAAAGCCCGGGGCUCAACCUCGGAACUGCAUCCGAUACUGGCAUGCUAGAGAAUUGGAGAGGAGUCUAGAAUUCACGGUGUAGCAGUGAAAUGCGUAGAUAUCGUGAGGAAUACCAAGUGCGAAGGCAGGACUCUGGACAUUUUCUGACGCUGAGACACGAAGGCCAGGGGAGCAAACG
rnacentral:rRNA from 1 species